UAGGGAAUCUUCGGCAAUGGGGGCAACCCCUGACCGAGCAACGCCGCGUGAGUGAAGAAGGUUUUCGGAUCGUAAAGCUCUGUUGUAAGAGAAGAACGUGUGUGAGAGUGGAAAGUUCACACAGUGACGGUAACUUACCAGAAAGGGACGGCUAACUACGUGCCAA
rnacentral:rRNA from 1 species